GAGACAGAGACAGAGACAGAGACAGAGACAGAGACAGAGACAGAGACAGUCAGUCUCCCAUCCAACCCAUUAGUGUCUUAUGGAGGAGCAGAGAGAAUAUCUUUCUUCCUGAUCCUUAGAUCAUUCACACCAAAGACCUUUUCAACACCAAGAUCUGUUUUAUUAACUGCUUCAACAUGUGAUGGCCUGAAGAAUUACUCAGAGACUUACUUGAGAGGUAUGUCACUGAAUUCCUCCAUGCAGAAACAAUGGCACCCACUGACAUUCCUCAUUUCUGAAGGUCUUUGGAGACCAAAGAGUGGAGUUUCUGCAGAAAUGAAUAGGAGGAAUUGCUUUUGGAGUGACCUGCAUACCUUGCAAAAUCUUGCCAGUAGCUCCUCAUUCAAAACAACAGCUGUAAAUCAUAUGAAGACUUGCAACACCGAUAAUAUUACUUGAAAGAGAUAAAUAAAUGAAAUGGAAAGCAGCUAAAAGCUCUCUUCUUUGUCAGCCUGGCUGAUUAGACUGCACUGCAAGAAAAUGAUACUUUGCUCCAAUUAGUCAUUGAUAGAGACUGAACAACUAAAAAUGCAAAAAUAAAACCAAAAAACAAAAAAAGCCAGCCCCAGCAGCAACUAAUUCACUUAGAACAAGAAAGAAAAGAAAAAGAAAAAAAAAGCACACAUUGAGAGCAGAUCAAGGGCAAGUAAUUGAAGUAAUGGAAAAAGCAUGUGUUGGGUACAAGAAUAAGGAGUACGGGCUUUGAUCAAAUAAAUAUUGUGACAAUUUCUCAUGAAGGAAAUGAAAUAAGCUGGCUCACAUCAAGCUGAAUAUGACAUUAUUAAAAGUUCAUGUUUUAAUUAUUUUAAUUGCCUAAAGUGUGGCAUGUCACUCGGAAGUAAAGUGGCAUUUUGAUUUUGAAAGUAUCUUUAAAAUUAUGUUUCAAACAAUGCUGCUUGUCAGAUUCAGCCCCAAACAGGAAAUCCCUCUUCAGAAAGUACACUGUACAGAAAAAGCACAAAUGCUACGUUUGUCAUUUUGUACAAACCACCACAGUAAACUUGGUUAUUUGCACCAUAUGUAACGUCUCCUUUAAAAAAAACUUUGUUUUAAUAUGUCCAGGCUUCAUUACUUUCAGCUAAGAUAGAGCAAUUGCACGCUUCCCACACCCAGUGAGCUUUCUUACCACUGUCAGCUAUCAUUUCAUCUCUCAGACUACAGGACAGAGUGUCAGUUGACUUAGACUUCUUUAUCCAGGUGCUGUUUUGUUAUCCGUGCCUUAAUGAAGAUCUUACUCUUUUCCAGUAUUCUCAUAUAAACUGAGCACAAUCCACUCUAUGCCAUCACAACACCCAGCGUUGCUGCCCACAAAUUGCCAUUCGCUUUUUUAGUUUUGUUUCUCCUCUUUAACAUUAUCUAUACUUCCCUUUAGAUCUUGACUUGCCUUUCCUCUUGUUUUAUGUACACUGUAAAAUCUCGUUAUGAAUGUUUGUUAAGUAAUAUCUGGGAGACGUUGUAACAAAAAAUAAUAAGCUACCUUAAAAUUUGUAGGAAA